rnacentral:rRNA from 1 species
UCGAACGAAAAGAGGGAAAGAGCUUGCUCUUUCCGGAAUUGAGUGGCAAACGGGUGAGUAACACGUAAACAACCUGCCUUCAGGAUGGGAACAACAGUUGGAAACGACUGCUAAUACCGCAUAACAUGGGAAACCAUCAAAGGAGCUUCACGGCUUCGCUUGAAGAUGAGCUCGCGUCUGAUUAGCUAGUUGGUAGGGUAAUGGCCUACCAAGGCGACGAUCAGUAGCCGGCCUGAGAGGGUGAACGGCCACAUUGGAACUGAGAAACGGUCCAAACUCC